UACGUAGGGGGCUAGCGUUGUCCGGAUUUAUUGGGCGUAAAGAGCGUGUAGGCGGCCAGGUAGGUCUGCUGUGAAAACUCGAGGCUCAACCUCGAGACGUCGGUGGAAACCGCAUGGCUAGAGUCCGGAAGAGGAGAGUGGAAUUCCUGGUGUAGCGGUGAAAUGCGCAGAUAUCAGGAGGAACACCGAUGGCGAAGGCAGGUCUCUGGGCCACUACUGACGCUGAGAAGCGAAAGCAUGGGGAGCGAACAGG
rnacentral:rRNA from 1 species